GCAUAUCAAUAAGCGGAGGAAAAGAAACCAACAGGGAUUACCUCAGUAACGGCGAGUGAAGCGGUAACAGCUCAAAUUUGAAAUCUGGCUCUUUCAGGGUCCGAGUUGUAAUUUGUAGACGAUGCUUUGGGUGUGGUGCCGGUCUAAGUUCCUUGGAACAGGACGUCAUAGAGGGUGAGAAUCCCGUAUGUGAUCGGUCGCCUUCGCCCGUGUAAAGCUCGUUCGACGAGUCGAGUUGUUUGGGAAUGCAGCUCAAAAUGGGUGGUAAAUUUCAUCUAAAGCUAAAUAUUGGCCAGAGACCGAUAGCGCACAAGUAGAGUGAUCGAAAGAUGAAAAGCACUUUGGAAAGAGAGUUAAACAGUACGUGAAAUUGUUGAAAGGGAAGCGCUUGCAACCAGACUUGGGCUGUCGCAAUCAUCCGGGGCUCGCCCCGGUGCACUUGUGGCGGCACAGGCCAGCAUCAGUUUCGGUGGUGGGAUAAAGGCCUUGGGAAUGUAGCUUCUUUCGGGGAGUGUUAUAGCCCUCGGUGCAAUGCCGCCUACCGGGACUGAGGACCGCGCUUCGGCUAGGAUGCUGGCGUAAUGGUUGUAAGCGACCCGUCUUGAAACACGGACCAAGGAGUCUAACAUCUAUGCGAGUGUUUGGGUGUCAAACCCAUACGCGUAAUGAAAGUGAACGGAGGUGAGAACCCGUUAGGGUGCAUCAUCGACCGAUCCUGAUGUCUUCGGAUGGAUUUGAGUAAGAGCAUAGCUGUUGGGACCCGAAAGAUGGUGAACUAUGCCUAAAUAGGGUGAAGCCAGAGGAACUCUGGUGGAGGCUCGCAGCGGUUCUGACGUGCAAAUCGAUCGUCAAAUUUGGGGUAUAGGGGCGAAAGACUAAUCGAACCAUCUAGUAGCUGGUUCCUGCCGA
rnacentral:rRNA from 1 species